AGAGUUUGAUCCUGGCUCAGGAUGAACGCUAGCUACAGGCUUAACACAUGCAAGUCGAGGGGCAUCAUGGCGGUUGCUUGCAACCGCCGAUGGCGACCGGCGCACGGGUGAGUAACGCGUAUCCAACCUGGCCGUUGCCACGGCACAGCCCGCCGAAAGGCGGAUUAAUGCGGUAUGAGGCGCUUCGAUGGCAUCAGAAGAGCGCCAAAGCUUCGGCGGCAGCGGAUGGGGAUGCGUCCGAUUAGGCAGCAGGCGGGGCAACGGCCCACCUGGCCGACGAUCGGUAGGGGUCCUGAGAGGGAGGCCCCCCACACUGGGACUGAGACACGGCCCAGACUCCUACGGGAGGCAGCAGUGAGGAAUAUUGGUCAAUGGGCGGAAGCCUGAACCAGCCAAGUAGCGUGCGGGAUGACGGCCCUAUGGGUUGUAAACCGCUUUUUCACGGGGAUAAAGUGCGCCACGUGUGGCGCUUUGCAGGUACCGUGCGAAUAAGGACCGGCUAAUUCCGUGCCAGCAGCCGCGGUAAUACGGAAGGUCCGGGCGUUAUCCGGAAUCAUUGGGUUUAAAGGGAGCGUAGGCCGCAUGUCAAGCGUGCUGUGAAAUCCCGGGGCUCAACCCCGGAAGCGCAGCGCGAACUGGCGUGCUUGAGUUGCAUCGAGGCAGGCGGAAUUCGUGGUGUAGCGGUGAAAUGCUUAGAUAUCACGAAGAACCCCGAUUGCGAAGGCAGCCUGCCAGUUGCACACUGACGCUGAUGCUCGAAGGCGCGGGUAUCGAACAGGAUUAGAUACCCUGGUAGUCCGCGCGGUAAACGAUGGAUGCCCGCCGUUGGGAUUUGGAUUUCAGCGGCCAAGCGAAAGCGUUAAGCAUCCCACCUGGGGAGUACGCCGGCAACGGUGAAACUCAAAGGAAUUGACGGGGGCCCG
rnacentral:rRNA from 1 species